rnacentral:rRNA from 1 species
UCGAACGAGAAAGUGGAGCAAUCCAUGAGUACAGUGGCGUACGGGUGAGUAACACGUGGGUAAUCUACCUCUUAGUGGGGAAUAACCGAGGGAAACCUUGGCUAAUACCGCAUAAGCCUGAGAAGGGAAAGCAGCAAUGCGCUGGGAGAGGAGCCCGCGGCCGAUUAGCUAGUUGGUGGGGUAAGAGCCCACCAAGGCAGAGAUCGGUAGCCGGCCUGAGAGGGCACACGGCCACACUGGCACUGAAACACGGGCCAGACUCCUACGGGAGGCAGCAGUGGGGAAUCUUGCACAAUGGGGGAAACCCUGAUGCAGCGACGCCGCGUGAGCGAUGAAGCCCUUCGGGGUGUAAAGCUCUUUCGUCAGGGACGAUAAUGACGGUACCUGGAGAAGCAGCUGCGGCUAACUACGUGCCAGCAGCCGCGGUAAUACGUAGGCAGCAAGCGUUGUUCGGAGUUACUGGGCGUAAAGGGUGUGUAGGCGGUUCUUUAAGUUUGGUGUGAAAUCUCCCGGCUCAACUGGGAGGGUGCGCCGAAUACUGAGGGACUAGAGUACGGGAGAGGAAAGUGGAAUUCCUGGUGUAGCGGUGAAAUGCGUAGAUAUCAGGAGGAACACCGGUGGUGUAGACGGCUUUCUGGACCGUAACUGACGCUGAGACACGAAAGCGUGGGUAGCAAACAGGAUUAGAUACCCUGGUAGUCCACGCCCUAAACGAUGCAUAUUUGGUGUGGGCAGUUCAUUCUGUCCGUGCCGGAGCUAACGCGUUAAUAUGC